AAAGACUUGACGGUACUUCACAACAACCUAGAGGAGCCUGUCUAAUAACCGAUACCCCACGAUUAACCCCACCUACCUCUAGCCCAACAGUCUAUAUACCGCCGUCGCCAGCCUACCUUGUGAAAGAAGUAAAGUAAGCGCAAUAAGACCCCCCUAACACGACAGGUCGAGGUGUAACUAAUGAGUAGGUAAAAGAUGGUCUACAUUUCCUAACACAGGACACACGAACAAACUAUGAAACUAGAAACUGAAGGCGGAUUUAGCAGUAUGAUAAGAAUAGAAUACCUAACUGAAACCAAUGCAAUGAAGUGCGCACACACCGCCCGUCAUCCCUG
rnacentral:rRNA from 1 species